rnacentral:rRNA from 1 species
GAACAUGCUGGAAAGCAUGGCCAUAGCGGGUGACAGCCCCGUAUUCCAAGCUCGAUGGAACGUAUUAAGUAGGGCGGAACACGUGAAAUCCUGUCUGAACAUGGGGGGACCACCCUCCAAGCCUAAAUACUCGUACAUGACCGAUAGCGAACACAGUACCGUGAGGGAAAGGUGAAAAGCACCCCGACGAGGGGAGUGAAACAGUACCUGAAACCGAACGCCUACAAUCAGUCGGAGCCCCCUUGCGGGGUGACGGCGUACCUUUUGUAUAAUGGGUCAUCGACUUAGUGU